rnacentral:miRNA from 1 species
AUAUUUGAUCCCUCUUGGCGC